rnacentral:sRNA from 1 species
GAUGUCCAAAUCCUACUCUGCACCCCAGGGGCACCCCUUGGACCCCCGGGUUCGCUGCAGGGCCCACACCUGGAUCAGGCCUCUCACGGGGACGCUCUCGCCAAUGUAAUAAAGAGGAGAAAACGUCCUAGGGGAAGGGCCUGACCCUGCUUCAUCCAGUCAGCAAAAAGCCACAUGGAAGGGACCACCUCAGCCACUCUGGAAGCCACAUCCAUCACUUCUCUGACCGCACCUAGGCUGCUUCCCAGGCCCUGAGGUCCUAGUGUGGACCUCCCUGCCGUGAUUAAUACAGGUCAGCAGGACCAGAGCGCCCCUUGGUCCCUCCCAACACAUGAGCGAAGUUUGUGUGAUGAGGUCAGGGAUAGUGUCUGCGUUUCUGCCCUGAAUAGGGCUCCCUUGGAAAAUCUUUUA